CUCUGUUAGUUUUGCAUAGUUGCACUGCAAGAAGAGAUGCGUUGUGCAAAUCUAUGCAAAGCUGAUAGUGGC
rnacentral:pre_miRNA from 12 species